rnacentral:lncRNA from 1 species
CGGGCCCAGACGCCUGCCCAAGCCGCGUCACCUGUGCCCCUGCGGGCAGCGCUGGGUUUCAUGAACCUGCCCCGUGCGCUUCGCCUGCAGUUGUUCUCCCGCCCGGGCAGCUCGUAAACACAUUUUGCCGGGGAAACUGCCCAUCCUUCGAGGUCACCUCGAAAGGCCCUGCCUAGCUCACUGCGGUGACAGCAGCUGCCGUUCACACCCACCAGCUCCCAGCGGUAUCAGUCACCCGGGCCUCGGUCCCGGAAUCUACAGGCGGAGUCUCAGGCGAGAGCGCCCGAGGCACAGCCAGGCCUGAGACCUCACCGGCUGGGAGCCGCCGAGCCACGGGCCCGGGAGCCGAGGGUCUGGGGCCAGCGCUGCCAGCCUGGCCUUGGCGGGUCCUCAGCUCCUUCUGCAAGUCACACUGCAGGCGCGUCUGCCUCGAGCUCCAGCCUGGCCCCUCGAGGCUGCUCCGUAAACGCUAGCUGCUGGCUUGUCUCUCGCAUUCCUUUCAAACAACCCUGAAAUAUUUCACAGCGCGGGAUCUGCAGCUCGGAGAGGUGUAGCAGACGGGACUCGCACCAGAUGUGCCCGACCACAGAGCCUUCGUCCCGUGCUCCGUGUCUCGGGCGGGAUUUGACAGCCAGUGGUGGGGAGGCCCUGUGUCUCGGGCGUCUCUGCAUCCCGAUGCCCAGUGCGGUAAAUGUCGUCUAGCAAGCCCUCAACAGGAGUGACGAGAAGACCAGGGGAGACGCACACACACAGCGAUUCCCUGGGCUGCCCCUGGCCUGGAGCAGCGCUGAACAGCAGCUGGGGACGUCUCCAAAGAGCCGUCUCUCCUCACCCCCGGAAUCCUGCAAAGGCUGCCACCUCCUGGAAAGACGGGGGAACUGCAAUGGAGAGGGACAUGAGGAGAAACUGGAAACCAAGAACUCAGUAACAACUUGCUGCUCUCCACUCGGAGUGCAGAACAGUGAUGAGGGAGAACUUGCACGAUGCCUUGGAACCCUCCGGACUGAGGCCGCAUCAGUCUGUAGCAGGAGCAGCUGUCCUAUUUCUCCUGUUCUGGGUGAGAGUCUUCCUGAAAAUGUUUUUUCCACAUAGAAGGAUAUUUUGCUUACAAUCUUCCUUAAUUUCUUCCCCUGAUAAUUUAAAAGAUAGCUCUAAAUAUGGACCUACAUUUAAGAAGAUAUUUUUCUCCUUUUGAAAAAAAAAAAAAGUCAAGGGAUGUUUGGUUAGACAUUUGAGGCUUUUAGUUUUGGAGACAAGUAGAAAAUAAGUUUCCACUAAGUUAAUCUAGAAACUUAAAUUUAUAUUCAUCAAGCAAGUUCAAGUUAAGGCCAGGUGUGGUGGUGCAUGUCUUUAAUCCCAGCACUCGGGAGGCUGAGGCAGGAGGAUUGCAAAAGUUCCAGGCCAGUCUGUGCUACAUAGCGAUUUCAAGGCCAGCCUGAACUAUAUAGGGAGACCCUGCCUAAUAGACAGAGGAGGAGGAGGAGGAGGAGGAGGAGGAGGAGGAGGCAGCUUAAAGUUAAACUACAGAACAUAAUUACUUCAACCUGUAAAGAUUUUUCAUAAUGUUUUAUUUAAGCAAUCUUUUAGGAACUAUCUGUUGUUUCAAAGAAAGUUUUGUUCAAAUACACAGUCUCUUCUACUUUAUGGCAACUGUCCUGUUUCUCUUAAAUUUGUUGGUAUUGGGGAUCGAACUCAGGACCUUGUGCUUUUGAGGCAGGUGCCGGAACCACUGAGCUAAAUCCCCGGCUGGAAAGAGAAUUUUAGUAUCAUUUAAAUCUACUUUUUUACUAUUUCAAGAAAUAGUGAUCACCUGUAAUCCCAGCACUCAGGAGGCUGAGGCAGGAGGGUCACUGUACGUUCAAGGCCAGCCUGGGCUCCACAAUGAGUUCAAGACUAGUCUGAGGGAAUGAGAUCCUGUCUCAGGAAAAAAAAAAACAACUAGCCUGGGUUGAGGAAUGAAUGGGAUUUUCAUUCUGGCAACAUAGAACCCAGUUAUUAAAACAUGACAAGCAAGGUACAGCAGCACACACCUGUACCCCAUACUCAGGAGGCUGAGGCAGGAGAAUCACAAGUCUGAGGCCAGCCUGGGUAACUUAGACCUUGUCUCAAAAUAAAAUAAUAAAAUUAAAUGAAAUUUUAAAAGGCUAGGGUGUAGGUGAGCGGCAGAGUGCUUUACUGGCAGACACAAGGCACUGGGCUCAGCCCCGGUAGUGAAGACACAGACUCAAUAAACGAAGCAUACCUCCCUACCAAAAUAAACUGCUACAAAUACUGAAUAAAGUCUUCCAAAAUUUCUUUGUAUGAAUAGCUAAGCCGGGAAGAAAGUAAGUGAAGUCGCUCUCAAGAGCACGAAUUCAGAGAAUGAUCGACCAUUUAACCCAUUGACUUUCCUAUGGCACCUUCCAGGCCUGCUUGCUGACACCUUUAUUUUCAGCCACCAAGACUUUCAAAUGACAAAGAGAGUCCCCCUGGCCCAGUAUUGGGGAACGAGGUCAGGGCCUUCACACUGAGCUUCAUCUCCACACACAUUUCCUUUUAAAUUUAUAUUGUAUUUUGAGGCAAGAUCUCACUAAUUUGUCUGGACUGGGCUUGAAUUUAAAAUCCUCCUGCCUCAGCAUCCUAGAGUGCUGGGAUCACAGGUGUGUAGCGCCAUGCCCAGAGGUUCUUGGAAGCAGAAGGAGAGAAGUAACUUGUCAGAAAGAAGGGAUCUGCAAUAAGAUUAUCAACAGAUUCUGAUAAAAAAAAAAAAAA